rnacentral:rRNA from 1 species
UACCAGCACCCCGAGUUGUCGGGACGAUUAUUGGGCCUAAAGCAUCCGUAGCCUGUUCUGCAAGUCCUCCGUUAAAUCCACCUGCUUAACAGAUGGGCUGCGGAGGAUACCGCAGAGCUAGGAGGCGGGAGAGGCAAACGGUACUCAGUGGGUAGGGGUAAAAUCCAUUGAUCUACUGAAGACCACCAGUGGCGAAGGCGGUUUGCCAGAACGCGCUCGACGGUGAGGGAUGAAAGCUGGGGGAGCAAACCGG